rnacentral:rRNA from 1 species
UACGUAGGGGGCGAGCGUUGUCCGGAUUUAUUGGGCGUAAAGAGCGUGUAGGCGGCUUGGUAGGUCUGCUGUGAAAACUCGGGGCUCAACCCCGAGACGUCGGUGGAAACCACCUGGCUAGAGUCCGGAAGAGGAGAGUGGAAUUCCUGGUGUAGCGGUGAAAUGCGCAGAUAUCAGGAGGAACACCGGUGGCGAAGGCGGUUCUCUGGGCCUGUACUGACGCUGAGGAACGAAAGCGUGGGGAGCGAACAGG